CCUACGGGUUGCAGCAGUGGGGAAUAUUGCACAAUGGGCGCAAGCCUGAUGCAGCCAUGCCGCGUGUGUGAAGAAGGCCUUCGGGUUGUAAAGCACUUUCAGCGGGGAGGAAGGCGGUGAGGUUAAUAACCUCAUCGAUUGACGUCACCCGCAGAAGAAGCACCGGCUAACUCCGUGCCAGCAGCCGCGGUAAUACGGAGGGUGCAAGCGUUAAUCGGAAUUACUGGGCGUAAAGCGCACGCAGGCGGUCUGUCAAGUCGGAUGUGAAAUCCCCGGGCUCAACCUGGGAACUGCAUUCGAAACUGGCAGGCUAGAGUCUUGUAGAGGGGGGUAGAAUUCCAGGUGUAGCGGUGAAAUGCGUAGAGAUCUGGAGGAAUACCGGUGGCGAAGGCGGCCCCCUGGACAAAGACUGACGCUCAGGUGCGAAAGCGUGGGGAGCAAACAGGAUUAGAUACCCUCGUAGUC
rnacentral:rRNA from 1 species